CAAAGUGUAGCUUAACAAAAAGCAUCUGGCUUACACCUA
rnacentral:tRNA from 1 species